GACAGAGGGUGCAAACGUUGUUCGGAAUUACUGGGCGUAAAGGGCUCGUAGGUGGCCAACUAAGUCAUACGUGAAAUCCCUCGGCUUAACCGGGGAACUGCGUCUGAUACUGGAUGGCUUGAGGUUGGGAGAGGGAUGCGGAAUUCCAGGUGUAGCGGUGAAAUGCGUAGAUAUCUGGAGGAACACCGGUGGCGAAGGCGGCAUCCUGGACCAAUUCUGACACUGAGGAGCGAAAGCCAGGGGAGCAAACGGG
rnacentral:rRNA from 1 species